rnacentral:rRNA from 1 species
UACGUAGGGCGCGAGCGUUGUCCGGAAUUAUUGGGCGUAAAGAGCUCGUAGGCGGUCUGUCGCGUCGGUCGUGAAAACCUGCAGCUUAACUGUGGGCGUGCGGUCGAUACGGGCAUGACUGGAGUUCGGCAGGGGAGACUGGAAUUCCUGGUGUAGCGGUGAAAUGCGCAGAUAUCAGGAGGAACACCGGUGGCGAAGGCGGGUCUCUGGGCCGAUACUGACGCUGAGGAGCGAAAGCGUGGGGAGCGAACAGG